rnacentral:rRNA from 1 species
UCACUGCUAUCGGGGUUCGAUUAAGCCAUGCGAGUCGAGAGGGUUCGGCCCUCGGCGUACUACUCAGUAACACGUGGAUAACCUGCCCUAAGGAAGGGGAUAACCUCGGGAAACUGAGGAUAAUACCCUAUAGGUUACAGACGCUGGAAUGCCCUGUAACCGAAAGCUCCGGCGCCUUAGGAUGGAUCUGCGGCCGAUUAGGUUGUUGUUGGGGUAACGGCCCAACAAGCCGAUAAUCGGUACGGGUUGUGGGAGCAAGAGCCCGGAGUUGGAUUCUGAGACACGAAUCCAGGCCCUACGGGGCGCAGCAGGCGCGAAAACUUUACAAUGCGGGAAACCGUGAUAAGGGAACCUCGAGUGCCUGUAUAUGCAGGCUGUCCAGGUGUCUAAAAAACACCUGAAGAAAGGGCCGGGCAAGACCGGUGCCAGCCGCCGCGGUAAUACCGGCGGCUCGAGUGGUGGCCACUUUUAUUGGGCUUAAAGCGUUCGUAGCUGGGUUGUUAAGUCUCUUGGGAAAUCUGACCGCUCAACCGUCAGGCGUUCCAGGGAUACUGCCAAUCUUGGAACCGGGAGAAGUGAGGGGUACUCCGGGGUAGGAGUGAAAUCCUGUAAUCCCCAAGGACACCUGUGGCGAAGCGCC